CCGAGUUUACAACUCCCAAACCCCUGUGAACAUACCACUUGUUGCCUCGGCGGAUCAGCCCGCUCCCGGUAAAACGGGACGGCCCGCCAGUGGACCCCUAAACUCUGUUUCUAUAUGUAACUUCUGAGUAAAACCAUAAAUAAAUCA
rnacentral:misc_RNA from 1 species